rnacentral:lncRNA from 1 species
AUGCAAGCAGAAAGGUGGAGACCUAUUAAUUUUGUUCGAUUGCCAAAGGAUUGUUGGGAUGUGCAGGGGUUUCAUGCAUGCAUUUCAAAAAAAUUUUAGCAGAAGAAUAUUAGAUUAAAUUAUUUAAUUUAUAAAUAUAUGCAUAAGAUCUGAUCUUAAAACUCCUACAAAUAGAUCGAUGACAUGAAUUUAUAUGCAUAAAAAUUUGAAUCUAAAACAAC